UCUUUUUCAAUAAAAACAAAAAAAGAUAUUUAAAAAUAUCGGUGGCACCCGACCCAGAUAAAUCAAUUGAAAAAAGCAACUCCCAUUACAAAAUUACCCAAAAAAGGUUCUUCGAUUCUAUCUAUAAAAAAUCGGCACUUUCAGUAACCCACUUCAUCACAUAAAAAAAGGAUUAUAUUCUAAAGUUGAGUUGAGUGUUUUCAUCAAUUUUGAGUGAAACUUUUUGUGGGUAUUUGAUGAUAGUAGCUGAAUCAUGGUAAUUGGGAAGAAUUUUAAGGAUUCACUUAAGUCUCUUGAAGCUGAUAUUCAACAUGUUAAUACUCUGGGAUUAGUUGACCCUUGUGAAAUGUUCCGUCCGGGAUAAUUGCCUACAAUUAGUUUUGCAUUUCUUAAUAUUUUUUUAUUGAUAAAACUUCUCCAGAAUAUCGUUCGGUUGUUUUAACUUAUGCUUGACAAGUGAAACUCGGUCUCAGGCUCGAACUCAUUUAAGCUCGGCUUGAUUCGAGCUUUAAGCGACUAGCGAGGAGAUCUCGAGUAGUCAUGAGCGGCCCC
rnacentral:lncRNA from 1 species